rnacentral:rRNA from 1 species
CCUACGGGUGGCUGCAGUGAGGAAUAUUGGUCAAUGGGCGCGAGCCUGAACCAGCCAAGUCGCGUGAGGGAAGACGGUCCUAUGGAUUGUAAACCUCUUUUGUCGGGGAGCAAAAGACGCCACGCGUGGCGUUCCGAGAGUACCCGAAGAAAAAGCAUCGGCUAACUCCGUGCCAGCAGCCGCGGUAAUACGGAGGAUGCGAGCGUUAUCCGGAUUUAUUGGGUUUAAAGGGAGCGUAGGCCGGCGUGUAAGUCAGCGGUGAAAGUGCGCGGCUCAACCGUGGAAUUGCAGUGGAAACUGGAGGCCUUGAGUGCACACAGGGAUGCCGGAAUUCAUGGUGUAGCGGUGAAAUGCUUAGAUAUCAUGAAGAACUCCGAUCGCGAAGGCAAGUGUCCGGGGCGCAACUGACGCUGAGGCUCGAAAGUGCGGGUAUCAAACAGGAUUAGAUACCCUUGUAGUC